GAUGAACGCUGGCGGCGUGCUUAACACAUGCAAGUCGAACGAUGAAGCCCAGCUUGCUGGGUGGAUUAGUGGCGAACGGGUGAGUAACACGUGAGUACCCUGCCCUUGACUCUGGGAUAAGCCUGGGAAACUGGGUCUAAUACCGGAUACGACCAUUGCCCGCAUGGGUUGGUGGUGGAAAGCUUUUGUGGUUUUGGAUGGACUCGCGGCCUAUCAGCUUGUUGGUGAGGUAAUGGCUCACCAAGGCGACGACGGGUAGCCGGCCUGAGAGGGUGACCGGCCACACUGGGACUGAGACACGGCCCAGACUCCUACGGGAGGCAGCAGUGGGGAAUAUUGCACAAUGGGCGAAAGCCUGAUGCAGCGACGCCGCGUGAGGGAUGACGGCCUUCGGGUUGUAAACCUCUUUCAGUAGGGAAGAAGCGAGAGUGACGGUACCUGCAGAAGAAGCGCCGGCUAACUACGUG
rnacentral:rRNA from 1 species